rnacentral:rRNA from 1 species
GGGUUGUGAGGUUAAGCGACUAAGCGUACACGGUGGAUGCCCUGGCAGUCAGAGGCGAUGAAGGGCGUGCUAAUCUGCGAUAAGCGCCGGUAAGGUGAUAUGAACCGUUAUAACCGGCGAUACCCGAAUGGGGAAACCCAGUGUGAUUCGUCACACUAUCAUUAACUGAAUCCAUAGGUUAAUGAGGCGAACCGGGGGAACUGAAACAUCUAAGUACCCCGAGGAAAAGAAAUCAACCGAGAUUCCCCCAGUAGCGGCGAGCGAACGGGGAGGAGCCCAGAGCCUGAAUCAGCAUGUGUGUUAGUGGAAGCGUCUGGAAAGGCGCGCGAUACAGGGUGACAGCCCCGUACACAAAAGCGCAUGUGCUGUGAGCUCGAUGAGUAGGGCGGGACACGUGGUAUCCUGUCUGAAUAUGGGGGGACCAUCCUCCAAGGCUAAAUACUCCUGACUGACCGAUAGUGAACCAGUACCGUGAGGGAAAGGCGAAAAGAACCCCGGCGAGGGGAGUGAAAAAGAACCUGAAACCGUGUACGUACAAGCAGUGGGAGCACCCUUUGGGGUGUGACUGCGUACCUUUUGUAUAAUGGGUCAGCGACUUAUAUUCUGUAGCAAGGUUAACCGUAUAGGGGAGCCGAAGGGAAACCGAGUCUUAACCGGGCGUUAAGUUGCAGGGUAUAGACCCGAAACCCGGUGAUCUAGCCAUGGGCAGGUUGAAGGUUGGGUAACACUAACUGGAGGACCGAACCGACUAAUGUUGAAAAAUUAGCGGAUGACCUGUGGCUGGGGGUGAAAGGCCAAUCAAACCGGGAGAUAGCUGGUUCUCCCCGAAAGCUAUUUAGGUAGCGCCUCGUGAAUUCAUCUCCGGGGGUAGAGCACUGUUUCGGCUAGGGGGCCAUCCCGGCUUACCAACCCGAUGCAAACUGCGAAUACCGGAGAAUGUUAUCACGGGAGACACACGGCGGGUGCUAACGUCCGUCGUGAAGAGGGAAACAACCCAGACCGCCAGCUAAGGUCCCAAAGUCAUGGUUAAGUGGGAAACGAUGUGGGAAGGCCCAGACAGCCAGGAUGUUGGCUUAGAAGCAGCCAUCAUUUAAAGAAAGCGUAAUAGCUCACUGGUCGAGUCGGCCUGCGCGGAAGAUGUAACGGGGCUAAACCAUGCACCGAAGCUGCGGCAGCGAACGUAUCACUUAAAGCGAUUCAGCGGGUUACGAUUGACGGAGCGAAGCGACGUCAAAGCGUAUACAAAGUCGAGUCGGUUUAAGGAUACGUU